rnacentral:tRNA from 1 species
GCCUUCAUAGUGUAACGGUAGCACACUCGACGCCUAUUUGAGAGGUUCAGGUUCGAAUCCCGGCGAGGACA